rnacentral:misc_RNA from 1 species
AAGUCGUAACAAGGUUUCCGUAGGUGAACCUGCGGAAGGAUCAUUAGCAAAUCAUCAGGGUGCGCCGCCGCAGGCGGUGCACAUCUGUCCCAGGGAGAAAGUCUGAUUUGAUUUUCUCCCUGUGUCCAAGUGCUCCAGUGAAAUGUAUAUCUCAAUCACCAACACCAAACUAAAAAACAACUUUUAACAAUGGAUCUCUGGGCUCCU